GGUAGCCGAGGCCAGACGGGAAAAGGGCUCUGAGAGGUAAAGGGCCCGGAGUCGCUGGGGGGAGGGGUUCCCGCUGGAGGUAACCGAGAGGUGCGGGGGGCUUGGAGAAGACCGGCUGCGGGGAACGAAGCUGAAGGUUCUGAAGCGCGAAGCGAAAAGGCCAGGUGCAGGGAGGCGAAAGGAGGCCAGAGCUCUGCUAGCUUUCCGGAGAGGAACCCCCGCGCACUGCAGAGCCGGACGCCCGGGGCUGGACGCCCAGGUACCGAGUCACGCCCUAGGACGCAGUUACUCACCGCGCGCAAAGCAGCUGGGGACCCCGCAAGGAAAUUAAGGCACAACGGAGCCUGCUCCUUUUUAUCUCAACUCUAAAUGCUAUGUCUGGUUUGGUCCUGGCUGUUAGUUCGAGGCUGGAACAUCCUCCAGGGCUGGGGCCCAUUUCGUUUUAUUUGCUUGGGCCCCAAAUAAAAACCAUUUAUCCGCAUGCCUAAUAAAAGUUUUCUUAAAUCGGG